GCAUAUCAAUAAGCGGAGGAAAAGAAACUAACAAGGAUUCCCUUAGUAACGGCGAGUGAAGCGGGAAGAGCUCAAAUUUGAAAUCUUCAAGGUUCUACCUUGACGAAUUGUAGUUUAAAGAAGUGUUUUCUGUUAGUGGAGUGGCAAAAGUUCUUUGGAAUAGGACAUCAUAGAGGGUGAGAAUCCCGUAUUUGGUCAUUCCUUCUAGCUUUGUGAUACACUUUCAAAGAGUCGGAUUGUUUGGGAAUGCAGUCCAAAAUGGGUGGUAAAUUUCAUCUAAAGCUAAAUAUUGGCGAGAGACCGAUAGCGAACAAGUACCGUGAGGGAAAGAUGAAAAGAACUUUGAAAAGAGAGUUAAACAGUACGUGAAAUUGUCAAAAGGGAAGCGUUUGACACCAGUGUUGUUUUUCCGAAAAUCAAUUAUAGAGGUUUUGUUUUUGAGGAGUGAUGACUUCAUCGGCUUCCUUCUCUCUUCACGAAACUUUUGUAAUGCACUUUUCGGUUAACAAGUCAACAUCAAUUUCUUUUGUUGUAAAAGGGUAUUCGGAAGGUGGCUUUCUUUUCGGAGAAAGUGUUUAUAGCCCUAUACCUCUACAAUCGGAGAGAUUGAGGUCUGCAGCGUAGAUCCUUCGGGGUUAGAUACAUUUGUGCUAGUUAUAGCUUUGUAUAGACAACUUGUUGACUAUGCUUAGUCUUGUAGCUUACUCGCUUAUGCUAUUUUACCUACGCUUAGGAUGUUGACAAAAUGGUUUUAAACGACCCGUCUUGAAACACGGACC
rnacentral:rRNA from 1 species